rnacentral:lncRNA from 1 species
CUCCAUGCCAGGCUGCUUGAAGGUGAUCCUUUCGUCUGCAUAUGAAUCAAAUUUCAAAGUAUUAAUUAGCGGCAUAUGUGGUUUGAAUAGAUCAAGAAAUCAAGACUGGGUGGAUGAGGUUUCCAGUUGAAAUGAAGCUUGCAAGGGAAACGUUAGUUUUUACGUAAUUCCAAGACAUAUUCCAUCUCAUGGAGUUUUGCAGGAUCCUUGGACGAGAUCUAUUUUCUUUAUAGCUAACAAUUGGGUUGGAUCGAAUCAAAUAUGGAUUGGAUUGAAUCAAAUACGGGUU